rnacentral:rRNA from 1 species
UACAGAGGUCUCAAGCGUUGUCCGGAUUUACUGGGCGUAAAGGGCGUGCAGGCGGUUUGUUAAGUGCAGGGUGAAAGCUCCCGGCUCAACUGGGAGAGGUCCUUGCAUACUGGCAAACUCGAGGGAGGCAGAGGAAAGUGGAAUUCCCGGUGUAGUGGUGAUAUGCGUAGAUAUCGGGAGGAACACCAGUGGCGAAGGCGACUUCCUGGCCUGUUCUUGACGCUGAGGCGCGAAAGCUAGGGGAGCAAACGGG